rnacentral:misc_RNA from 1 species
GUAUUGUUAGACAAAACCCCUGUCUAUAAAGUCACCGAACACCCUCCUCCUAAACGACAGCCAGGCGAUAUAUCAAAUAGUGCUACAGGGCAUCAGUCUGCUUCCGUCGUUGUGCUCCACAAACCGUCGCCCGCCAUCAUUGUCCUGAUCGUCAUCCUGAUCCUGCUCCUGAUCACCGCCCUCCUCGCUAUCGGCUAUCUAUGGAGGCGAGUCCGUGUUCUCAAGGAACGACUUACCAAACCCAGCCCCACCAAGGGCGAGUUCGACGAGGAUGAAUAUUCUGUGAUGAUGGACUGGUCAGUCAAAUAGAACGGGGACUAUGAACACUGAUUUCAAUCGCUUGCUUGCCUGUGCUAUCCCCCCUGAGCACGUCACAACAAAGCCUGGGUUGUCCCAGAGCACGAUAUGGCAAUUCUCCAUAAUCGUUUUUGUUACUUUUAAAGAUGUGAAAUUUCAAUCUUGUAUCGUUUGAAUUUCUUCUAUAAAGUACAUUUAACUUUC